UUGUAGCUCAGCUGGAUAGAGCAACGGCCUUCUAAGCCGUGGGUCGGGGGUUCGAAUCCCUUCAG
rnacentral:tRNA from 1 species